CUUGGCCAAUACAAAUACAGGCUGGAGCCAGUAAUGCUGUCCCAGCACCACUUGAGCAAGUUGCCCUCUGUCUUAAUUGCCAAAGAAAAACGCAACUGAGGCUUUUGUUCAUUUGUUUCAAAUGGAUCAAGGGUUCUAACUCACAUCCCAAAUGGCCUGAACAUUCAUUCCAGGUAGCUUUCCUUUGGGAAAGGACACAGAAAGAGUUAUUAAAUACUUUUAAAAGCGUUGAACUCCUGGGAGCCAGAGCAUACCAGAUGGGCUGCAAUGAAUACAUGCAAGAAAGCCAGGCAGCCCUAUUUCCAGGCAGUAUGUUUGUACAACACAUGGAGGGCUUAAAAACAGCAUGCUGGGGCCAUUACAAGGAAGGGAUCAGUUUUAAAAAGAAAAUAAAGUACCUUUUGAACUGUAGGUAUCAAGUUGCAGUCUAUCAAAACAACCUCAUACAUAAGUAUUUUGUCAUGCUAUAGGAAGAUACAAGAAUUUGAAAAGAGAUUUAAGUCUGGGAGAGCUCUACCCUCUCUUCCUCUGUAACACCCUAGGCUUGUAACAAAGGGGUAAGAAUAUCAAGGAAACAAAUCAAAAAUUCAAAGCCCACAUUCAGCGUAAGAAUGAAGUGCGUCUAAGAGCAAAGGGUGGGGGAGACCUAAGCAGGAUGGUUUCAGGCUGCAUGCGCAGCAGCAAAGGGAGCCAGCAUGGAUUGGCACACCGAGCACGGCUUGCUCUGGUACACACAGCAGCUGAUCUGGCAUGCUACAAACGAGUAGGAUAUGAAGGAUGAAGGAGUGCAAUUAAAUGAGAGGGAGUAUUAUAAAUUUUAAGAGUAGAUUGGGAAAAAAAAGGUAAUUUCCCUCCCAGGCACUUAAAAAAUACUAUGAUAAUGCUGUAAUAACGUUUCAGGCGGAGGUGAGCACCACAUUUCUCUCACAUUAUUAGUGAUUACUUUUUAGAAGUUACAAACUAGUUAAAUUUCACUAAAACGCUGAUGAAAGAGAAAAAUAAAGACUACAAUGACAGUCGUACUAAAAACAGUGGGCCAAGAGCUGGCAAACAUUAGGAUUGUUUUGCCAUGGGCUAGCUGGCUUUGUGCAAGUUACUUAGCUUUUAUGCGAUGUCAGUAAGAAGGGGACAGUAAAAUAAAGUACUCUGUGAUAUACAGUAGUACUAAAAGAGCUCGAGAUUGCUCAAUUGGAGAAGCAGACUGAAAAUAAAUCUAAAUGACAAAAAACGUCUGAUAAAAUGAACCUUUGGAUCUCUUCAGGACUGGGUAGCGACAAACCAGGACAAUGACAAAAACUAGUUUGUAGUGAUUCCAAGUCUAUCUCCAAGCCCUCUAGCCUGUCAAAUACAGUCAUUUCAGAGGCGAAGUUUCACAAGUACCUUUUCAGCAAGUGUAUCUUUGUAAACUUCUGCUGAGCCUCCCCAGCACUCCUGCCCUGCCCUGCAGUCCCCCAGCACAGCCUUCUGCCACACAGCACUGUAAGGACGUGUGGGCUGUGCAGUGAACAUCAUCUUGGUGACACCUCCCCAGGUUUGUUUUUUAAAUAAUUACAUGUGAGCAACUGAACAUCUCAUAUGAUAUUGUCUCUCUACUCCCUUCUUGCCCCAGAAAAGGAAGGUGGGCCAAAGGAUUUCUGGGAAUCUUUCUUCAGUCUACCUAUGAGUUCGAGCUUGUAUUAUCCUUGCUUUGUUGUUUUCAGUAAAGAAAUCAAAAAGUUUGAAGUGGAAACAUGAUGAAAAUAUAUUGUUUAAAUACAGACUGACAAGUGGUUACUGAAAUUAGGAAGUGAUUAGAGUUAACUUAAGUCAUUUCACAGUGCAACAAACAACUCUGUUAUCAGAGCAGCGGUUACAUCAUCCCUACACUGGUGCUGUCUGUGUCAUGAGAACAUCAGUAGUCCAAAGGAGUAAUAAACUGAAAAUAUUACUGUCUUAUUUUUAGCCACGUAUGCAUCAGAAUGAUGUAAUACUAUGAAAUACUGAUAUCCAUUUACAAAAAAAGAAAGAAGUGAACAUUACAAAGGCAGCUUUAACUUGCUAUAUUGCAAACAUACCAAUGGCAUAGCCCUCAUUUUGUGAGGAAAAAACAUGUCAAUGCAGAAAGAUAUAAGAUAUGGUAUGCUGCUGUAACAUACAGUUAAGUGCUAUUACAAGAGAGUUUCAUAUUUGGUUGAGCUCACACUGGGCUAGGAUCACAAAAACACCUGUGGUUACUUUGGUGACAGAGGACUACAGCCAUCUAAUGAGCUUUUUCAACAACAAAACGAAAAAUAACAACUUACAUUGGGUAAAAAGUUUCAAAUUAGAAACGUGCCACAGAAUGUCACCCUUAGCAGGAUGACAACAUGGGGAAAGUUAAGUUGAAUGUGUAAUUUCAGGAUCCUCCACUUCUCUCCCAAGUGUCAGAUUUCUUAAUACUACCCAGGUCUGUUUCCCUAGAAAUUCAUCUCAGCCAGACCUGCCAAUUUCAUGACUUAGAAAUGACUACUUUAAGACUUGCCUAUCCAACUAGAUUGGCUGGCCCUUUCUCAAUUAGGGUUUCAAAUAGCACUGUUCAGAAGGUAUCAAAUUGUGCUAGUUGAGAUUAGGCACACUGUACUUUAACACAUGCAAGUACACUUGUCAGCUAGUGACGUGAGUUUUAGCAUUAGGUUGAGCAAACCAGCAUAAGGUUCUAGCAGACACGCACCAGCAGAUAGAGAUCAGACAAUAGAAGCUGUCACCACCCAGCCUCCUACCCCUCCCUUUUGAUAAAUGUGGCUGCUCCUAAAGGAAGGCAGCUGUUCCACUCCUGAAUCAGCUCAUGAAUCACUGUUGCUCUCAGUCCAAUGUCUUCAAGGCAAAGUGGAAUCAGAGAUGAUUUUACCUGAAAAUAGGUGGCCCGUGAGCUGAUUCAUGAGAACAUCUGACAUCAUCAGCUGGAAAGUGGGACAAGUAUAAGGCGACAGCUUUGUAACAGCAACAGCCUCAGCCAUUUGAUUUCCAUCUAUCACUGCUUGUCUGCCAGAACCAACAGCCUCCAGAGUCUGCUCAGAAAAGGUCCCACCAGUAUUCACAUGAACUGUAUGCAAACACGACAGACAAGGUUUUACGCAGAGUAUACACAUUACACCACAUAUGUUAAGAAGUUGUCCACAAAGUCAGAUAUUAUUUUAAAUGAUUUGAGCAAGCACAAAAAACAUUCAUGAAAUCCUAUCUGCAACAAGGCUGCAGUCAGAUCACCAUCUCCAACUCUUUCACCUACAAUUCCUACUACAAUUUUGCCUUCUCAAGUCAGGAAGUAACACACACAGCUGUAGUUCCUUGCAGAUGCACUUCCUUGAACCUCCCUUUCCAAAUGGGAGGUGCCACAGCCCUGGAGGGACGUCUGUUCUCCUGCCACACAACUACCACCUGCACUCACAGCCAGGCUGCCCGCCCAGCAAUUAAAGAUAAGGAGGCAAACACUGCUAAUUCAGCACAGACCACAAAUUCAGGCAGAGGUAUAGGGCAGGACAGGAGCUUCAAUUUUUCCCAGUCAGACUGGAUACAAAACCUAUAACUAGGGUUUCAUCAACAGCCUACAGAGCAAUUUGCCCUGGACUAUGGCAGUGGUAAGAGAGGGAGGAAAAGGAAGAUGAGUCAACCAGUUUAUUAAGGCAUGAUCAGGAUCCAGUCUAGAGAAAUCACACAGCUUUGUCACCACAUGCUUGCUAACAGUCUGACACAUGCUUACACUGGUUUUUGAUAUUACUGGUAUUUUCUCAACUAUUUGGAUUUUAUUAUUAUUAUUAUUUAAAUUAAUAGAUUCAGUGAAUGGAUGCUAUUAAAUAAUAAUAAUUUAUAACCAUAUACUUAUUCCCAUUAAACUUCACAGGGCCUUUGAAGGGCCAAUUUACAUUGGUUUUAUCACAAUAUAAUCAAACACACAACUGGACGAUGGCAAAAUCAAAUUAUUACUUGAAUACAAGCUGAUGUAGUUACAUUUCAUAUUUAAACUUCUGUAAAAAUAUUUUGAUUCAAGUGCAGGAUUUAGACUUUUGGCAUUCCUUUAAUGAUGUAGAAACCUUUAACCAGGUUUAGCUUUCUAACAUCUCGCUAUUUUAAGAUCCAUUCCUUACACUGCUUGACUUCAUUAGCUCAAAACAAAACAAAAACCCUAACAGUGUGGGAAUGUAUAGUGAUCAUACCAAUUAACAGACAGAGCUAAUAUUAGGCUAUACUUCAAGCUACUAACUAGCCUUAAAAACCACUGAUUUAUCUCUCACACAGUUUAGCCUUGGUACUGCCUGAUAGCUAGAAAUGUAGCAAAACUUUUUUUUGUCUUUUUUGACUCUUCUGAGUUCAAGCAUAAAUAAAAGCCUGUAUACAGAAAUCCAGACAGCGAGAUGACAGUGCUUUUGUACUCAUCUUUUUCCUUUUUUUUUUUUUUUAAACCUACUAAACCUGGAGAACGUAGGGCCAGAGCAAAAUAAGCAAAUUCAGCUGCAGUUGCUAUGUUGAUUCUUUACCCUGGCAAAGCAUUACUGCUCCCUCUGGUGUUUGACUGACCCUGUGCCAAACCAUUUCAAUACAGAAAGAUGGACAAAAACCAAAGAACAUAUAUAAUUUCAGAAGUGCAUAGAUGUGUAUUCAAAAGCAAAACUGGACGUGAAUAUAACACAUACGUUUCUUCACAUCACAGCAGUUGAAUUAGCAGAAUUUCAGGUCAUGGGAGUGCUGAAAGCUGCACAAAGGAGGAUAUGACUCCAGAGCCAGCAGUCUGAUCAAGUCAUGCCGCCCUGCCAAAGCAGCUCACAUUUCGGUAAGUUACUCUCCAAUCUUUCACUCCCAUUCCGAGCUGUGCUAUGCAACCCCACUCCUGUGACACAACUUUCACUACUUCACAAUGGAUCAGAGACAAAAUACUCUCCAGGCUAGCCCUACUCACUGAAACACAGGCAAUACAUCCUGCCUUUUCUUUCUUUCCUGGAUUAAUAUUUUUCAUUAAGUUCUGGAGAAAAAUAAAUAAAAUUAAAAAAAAAGCCAGAGCCAAUCAGAGAAGAGAAGGGAGAAAAAAGACAAGAAAGGAAAAAGGAAAAAAAAGCAGUGGGAGUUCUACAGCUCUGGACAGAAAGAUGUAGGAGCUCACUCUUUCACUACUGAGCCUUGAGGGGAUGCUCUAAAAGCUGAAAGGUCUACUCAAGGCUGAGAGACCCGAGCCUCCAGUCUGGAAAGAGAAGGCUGAGAGUGGAUCUAAGGACAGAGAGCCCACGGACCGUACUAUUGCAGAAAACACAGUAUUACAAAGAAGUUGAGACGAUUUUGAAACAUUCUAACAACAAGUUACUACCAAAUUUAAAAAUAAAAAAUAAAGAUCAACAUAUACGCUAUAGCAAUUGAAGUAUCUGCUAGAGAUUUUCAUUGAAAUAUGAAAAUUUCAGAGAGAAGAAAAAAGGGUUUUAAUGUUGUCUUAAAAGUAGCUCGCUCCUAAUAAAUGAACAUCACUUCAUUUUAUCAAUGACUGCCAUAGUUUUCUAAAAGCUGGUAUAUGAGCCUGAAAUGAGGAAACCUGGAAAACAGAGCUGGAAAGAAAUGUAGAAGGGUUGCCUUAUGCACGCGUCCAGCACUGCUUGCAGGUACUGAUCUCAAGGGACCCUUCUUGGCAGAUGUCAGUCUGACCUGUUACAAAAAUGUCAUCCAUGGAGAUUCUAUCCAUUCUCUGCAGAGAAGUGAAAACUCGCUGUUUAUAUUAGGGAACUUUUAACCAUACUUAAUCUUAGUAUCAUUUGCUCCUGUCAAA